rnacentral:rRNA from 1 species
GAUGAACGCUGGCGGCGUGCCUAAUACAUGCAAGUCGAGCGGUGAGGCCACUUCGGUGGUACACGAGCGGCGGACGGCUGAGUAACACGUAGGAACGUACCCCAAACUGAGGGAUAAGCACCAGAAAUGGUGUCUAAUACCGCAUGUGAUCUUCGGAUUAAAGCUACGGCGGUUUGGGAACGGCCUGCGCAUGAUUAGUUUGUUGGUGAGGUAAUGGCUCACCAAGGCUACGAUCAUUAGCUGGUCUGAGAGGAUGAUCAGCAUCACUGGGACUGAGACACGGCCCAGACUCCUACGGGAGGCAGCAGUGGGGAAUAUUGGACAAUGGGCGCAAGCCUGAUCCAGCCAUGCCGCGUGGAUGAUGAAGGCCUUAGGGUUGUAAAGUCCUUUUAACGGGGAAGAUAAUGACGGUACCCGUAGAAUAAGCCCCGGCUAACUUCGUGCCAGCAGCCGCGGUAA